UGGGGAAUCUUGCGCAAUGGGCGAAAGCCUGACGCAGCCAUGCCGCGUGAGUGAAGAAGGUCUUAGGAUUGUAAAGCUCUUUCGCUCGUGACGAUGAUGACGGUAACGAGAGAAGAAGCCCCGGCUAACUUCGUGCCAGCAGCCGCGGUAAUACGAAGGGGGCUAGCGUUGUUCGGAAUUACUGGGCGUAAAGCGCGCGUAGGCGGUUUUGCAAGCCAGAGGUGAAAUGCCUGAGCUCAACUUAGGAAUUGCCUUUGGGACUGCGAGGCUUUGAGGACGGGAGAGGUGAGUGGAAUUCCCAGUGUAGAGGUGAAAUUCGUAGAUAUUGGGAAGAACACCGGUGGCGAAGGCGGCUCACUGGCCCGUUUCUGACGCUGUAGCGCGAAAGCGUGGGGAUCAAAC
rnacentral:rRNA from 1 species